GAUGAACGCUGGCGGCGUGCCUAAUACAUGCAAGUCGAGCGAACAGACGAGGAGCUUGCUCCUCUGACGUUAGCGGCGGACGGGUGAGUAACACGUGGAUAACCUACCUGUAAGACUGGGAUAACUUCGGGAAACCGGAGCUAAUACCGGAUAAUAUAUUGAACCGCAUGGUUCAAUAGUGAAAGACGGUUUUGCUGUCACUUAUAGAUGGAUCCGCGCCGCAUUAGCUAGUUGGUAAGGUAACGGCUUACCAAGGCGACGAUGCGUAGCCGACCUGAGAGGGUGAUCGGCCACACUGGAACUGAGACACGGUCCAGGCUCCUACGGGAGGCAGCAGUAGGGAAUCUUCCGCAAUGGGCGAAAGCCUGACGGAGCAACGCCGCGUGAGUGAUGAAGGUCUUCGGAUCGUAAAACUCUGUUAUUAGGGAAGAACAAAUGUGUAAGUAACUAUGCACGUCUUGACGGUACCUAAUCAGAAAGCCACGGCUAACUACGUG
rnacentral:rRNA from 1 species